AACGAACGCUGGCGGCAUGCCUAACACAUGCAAGUCGAACGAGAUCUUCGGGUCUAGUGGCGCACGGGUGCGUAACGCGUGGGAAUCUGCCCUUUGGUUCGGAAUAACAGUUGGAAACGACUGCUAAUACCGGAUGAUGACGAAAGUCCAAAGAUUUAUCGCCAGAGGAUGAGCCCGCGUAGGAUUAGCUAGUUGGUGUGGUAAAGGCGCACCAAGGCGACGAUCCUUAGCUGGUCUGAGAGGAUGAUCAGCCACACUGGGACUGAGACACAGCCCAGACUCCUACGGGAGGCAGCAGUGGGGAAUAUUGGACAAUGGGCGAAAGCCUGAUCCAGAAUGCCGCGUGAGUGAUGAAGGCCUUAGGGUUGUAAAGCUCUUUUACCCGGGAUGAUAAUGACAGUACCGGGAGAAUAAGCUCCGGCUAACUCCGUGCCAGCCGCCGCAGUAA
rnacentral:rRNA from 1 species